GAUCGGAGUCUGNAACCCGACUCCGUGAAGCUGGAUUCGCUAGUAAUCGCGCAUCAGCCAUGGCGCGGUGAAUACGUUCCCGGGCCUUGUACACACCGCCCGUCAAGCCAUGGGAGCCGGGGGCACUUGAAGUACGCCGCCGCGAGGAGCGUCCUAGAGUGAAACUGGUGACUGGGGCUAAGUCGUAACAAGGUAAC
rnacentral:rRNA from 1 species